AUAGAACCCAGAGCCAGGAGACGUCGGUGUGACUCAGCUGCUAAUGCUCAGCUUGUGAGAAAAACUCAGCCUGUUCCUGUCCCAGUGUAAUCUGCUUCCAGGAUGAGGCACAAAGGAGUGGCCAAAUUGUUCAACUUAAAAAGAAAACAAUAUAGAGACACCUGCUCCAACAAAGUGGCUCACGACAGCAGUGCCUGGCCGCUCGCCCUGUAGGAUGUCCACAGGCAGCACCGGGAGAUUCCUCUGUGAACUUUGAACCUGGAAAACAGACUGUGUGUCUCUCCCAUUGUGUUUCUGAAGUUAGACCUCGAUGAACUGCAGAGGAUUCUUUCAGGCCCUCUGGUGGAGAAAAG